UCCUGGCUCAGGAUGAACGCUAGCUACAGGCUUAACACAUGCAAGUCGAGGGGCAGCAUGGACCCAGCUUUGCUGGGUUUGAUGGCGACCGGCGCACGGGUGAGUAACGCGUAUCCAACCUGCCCUUUACUCCGGGAUAGUCUCCUGAAAGGGAGUUUAAUACCGGAUGUGUUUGUCUUUCCGCAUGGGAGCGACAAAUAAAGAUUAAUUGGUAAAGGAUGGGGAUGCGUCCCAUUAGCUUGUUGGCAGGGUAACGGCCUACCAAGUCUGCGAUCCAUAGCCGAACUGAGAGGUUGAACGGCCACAUUGGAACUGAGAAACGGUCCAGACUCCUACGGGAGGCAGCAGUGGGGAAUAUUGGGCAAUGGGCGAAAGCCUGACCCAGCGACGCCGCGUGAGGGAAGAAGGUCUUCGGACUGUAAACUCCUGUUGUUGAGGAAGAUAAUGACGGUACUCAACAAGGAAGUGACGGCUAACUACGUGCCAGCAGCCGCGGUAAAACGUAGGUCACAAGCGUUGUCCGGAAUUACUGGGUGUAAAGGGAGCGCAGGCGGGCGAUCAAGUUGGAAGUGAAAUCCAUGGGCUCAACCCAUGAACUGCUUUCAAAACUGAUUGUCUUGAGUAGUGCAGAGGUAGGCGGAAUUCCCGGUGUAGCGGUGGAAUGCGUAGAUAUCGGGAGGAACACCAGUGGCGAAGGCGGCCUACUGGGCACCAACUGACGCUGAGGCUCGAAAGUGUGGGUAGCAAACAGGAUUAGAUACCCUGGUAGUCCACACCGUAAACGAUGAUUACUAGGUGUUGGAGGAUUGACCCCUUCAGUGCCGCAGUUAACACAAUAAGUAAUCCACCUGGGGAGUACGACCGCAAGGUCGAAACUCAAAGGAAUUGACGGGGGCCCGCACAAGCAGUGGAGUAUGUGGUUUAAUUCGACGCAACGCGAAGAACCUUACCAAGUCUUGACAUCCUGCGACGAUGCUAGAAAUAGUAUUUUCCUUCGGGACGCAGAGACAGGUGGUGCAUGGUUGUCGUCAGCUCGUGUCGUGAGAUGUUGGGUUAAGUCCCGCAACGAGCGCAACCCUUAUGGUCAGUUACUACGCAAGAGGACUCUGGCCAGACUGCCGUUGACAAAACGGAGGAAGGUGGGGAUGACGUCAAAUCAUCAUGCCCUUUAUGACUUGGGCUACACACGUACUACAAUGGCGUUAAACAAAGAGAAGCAAGACCGCGAGGUGGAGCAAAACUCAGAAACAACGUCCCAGUUCGGACUGCAGGCUGCAACUCGCCUGCACGAAGUCGGAAUUGCUAGUAAUCGUGGAUCAGCAAGCCACGGUGAAUACGUUCCCGGGCCUUGUACACACCGCCCGUCACACCAUGAGAGCCGGGGGGACCCGAAGUCGGUAGUCUAACCGCAAGGAGGACGCCGCCGAAGGUAAAACUGGUGAUUGGGGUGAAGUCGUAACAAGGUA
rnacentral:rRNA from 1 species